ensembl:lncRNA
AAGAGAGCUUUGUGUGUUUCCAGGAAAGCUAUAGCUAAAUCGGGCCUGCACCAUCUGCCCUGUCAGCCGGGCACAUCGUCUCUGAACAGGAGCGACCCAGAAGCAGAUAUCCGCAGCACUUUGGACUGGACUGAGUCGGCAGUGUAUGGAGAUCACAUCUGGUUUGAAACCAACGUGUCUGGAGACUACUGUUAUGUGGGAGAGGAACACUGUAUAGCCAGACAAAAGUCUGUCAGUCGAAGGAAGUGUGCUGCCUGUAAGAUAGUGGCCCACACCAUCUGUAUUGAGCAACUGGAUAAGAUUAACUUCAGGUGUAAACCGUCCUUCAGAGAAUCCGGCUCAAGGAACAUCCGAGAGUCUAUUGUAGUGCGUCAUCACUGGGUGCAUCGGAGACGGCAGGAAGGCAAAUGUAAACAAUGUGGGAAGGGCUUCCAGCAGAAGUUUGCAUUCCACAGCAAGGAGAUUGUGGCCAUCAGCUGCUCUUGGUGCAAACAGGCUUACCACAACAAGGUGUCUUGCUUCAUGCUUCAGCAAAUCGAGGAGGCUUGUCCAAUAGGAGCCCACGCUGCUCUUAUAGUUCCACCCACAUGGAUCAUUCGAGUCCGGCGCCAUCAGUCAUCUAUUAAGGCGAGUAAGAAGAAGAAGAGAGCAUCGUUCAAGAGGAAAUGCAGCAAGAAGGGAGCCGAGGUCAGUCCUGGUUGGAGGCCCUUUUUAAUCCGCCCCAUCCCUGCACCACUGAUGAAGCCACUGCUGGUGUUUGUUAAUCCCAAGAGCGGAGGAAACCAGGGUGCUAAGAUCCUGCAGUCCUUCAUGUGGUAUCUGAACCCCAGACAGGUAUUUGACCUGAGCCAUGGCGGACCAAAGGAAGGCCUGGAGCUGUAUCGUAAAGUUCAUAACCUGAGGAUCAUGGCCUGUGGAGGAGAUGGCACAGUGGGCUGGAUCCUGUCUUGUCUUGAUGAACUGGCCUUGAAUCCUCAACCUCCCGUUGCCGUGUUACCACUUGGGACAGGAAAUGACCUCGCCAGGACCCUCAACUGGGGGGGGGGGUACACAGACGAGCCCCUGUCAAAGAUCCUCUCCCAUGUUGAAGACGGAGCGGUGGUCCAGCUGGACAGAUGGAAUCUACAUGUGGAACCAAACCACAGUGCAGAGGCUGAGCCGGACGAGCACCAGCUUCCUCUAGAUAUUUUCAACAAUUACUUCAGCCUUGGAUUUGAUGCCCAUGUGACUCUAGAGUUCCAUGAGUCAAGAGAAGCCAACCCAGAGAAGUUUAACAGUCGUUUUAGGAAUAAGAUGUUCUAUGCUGGGACAGCAUUCUCAGAUUUUCUGAUGCGAAGCUCCAAAGACCUGUCAAAGCACAUCAAUGUGGUGGUGAACGGAACUGGUUCUGAUGAUGAGACCUAUGCUGUGUUCCUCAGAUACUGUGCAGGGACGACGCCUUGGGGAAACCCCGGUGAGCAUCACGACUUUGAACCUCAACGUCAUGAUGAUGGAUACAUCGAGGUCAUCGGAUUCACUAUGACGUCACUGGCUACUCUCCAGGUCGGGGGUCAUGGCGAGAGGUUGAACCAGUGCAGGGAAGUCAUCCUCACCACCACAAAACCUCUUCCAGUACAGGUGGACGGUGAACCGUGCAGACUGGCUCCCUCUGUCAUCCGCAUCAUGACUCACGAUCUGUUUCUCCCGCAGCCAGUUCCGGAGAGGCUGAGGAUCCGAGUCAGCAGGAUCAGUAUGACGGACUACGAGGCUUUGCACUAUGACAAGGACAAACUAAGACAAGCAUCCAUUCCUCUGGGGCUCAUCGUGGUUUCUGGUGACAGCGACUUAGAAACCUGCAGAGAACACAUCCAGCGCCUCCAGGAGGUAAGGAGGAGAGAGGAGGGGGGGGAGGCCAUAGUUCUGUGUCACUGCAUGGAAACAGAAAAGCAGUGA